rnacentral:rRNA from 1 species
UACGUAGGGGGCAAGCGUUGUCCGGAUUUAUUGGGCGUAAAGAGCGUGUAGGCGGCCAUGUAGGUCCGUUGUGAAAACUCGAGGCUCAACCUCGAGACGCCGAUGGAAACCAUAUGGCUAGAGUCCGGAAGAGGAGAGUGGAAUUCCUGGUGUAGCGGUGAAAUGCGUAGAUAUCAGGAGGAACACCUGCGGUGUAGACGGCUUUCUGGACCAUUGCUGACGCUGAGACACGAAAGCGUGGGUAGCAAACAGG